rnacentral:rRNA from 1 species
UACGAAGGGUGCAAGCGUUGUUCGGAUUUACUGGGCGUAAAGGGCAUGUAGGCAGUUAGAUCAGUUAGGGGUGAAAUCCCGGGGCUUAACCUCGGAAUUGCCUUUAAGACGGUCUUGACUAGAGAGCUAGAGGGGAUAAUGGAAUACCCAGUGUAGAGGUGGAAUUCGUAGAUAUUGGGUAGAACACCAGUGGCGAAAGCGGUUAUCUGGCUAGCAACUGACGCUGAGAUGCGAAAGCGUGGGGAUCAAA